rnacentral:rRNA from 1 species
UACGGGGGGGGCAAGCGUUGUUCGGAAUUACUGGGCGUAAAGGGCUCGUAGGCGGCCAACUAAGUCAGACGUGAAAUCCCCAGGCUCAACCUGGGAACUGCGUCUGAUACUGGAUGGCUUGAAUCCGGGAGAGGGAUGUGGAAUUCCAGGUGUAGCGGUGAAAUGCGUAGAUAUCUGGAGGAACACCGGUGGCGAAGGCGGCAUCCUGGACCGACACUGACGCUGAGGCGCGAAAGCUAGGGGAGCAAACGGG